rnacentral:rRNA from 1 species
UACGUAGGGGGCAAGCGUUGUCCGGAAUCAUUGGGCGUAAAGCGCGUGUAGGCGGUUCGGUAAGUCUGAUGUGAAAUCCCUGGGCUCAACCCAGGGCCUGCAUCGGAAACUGUCGGGCUUGAGUAUGGGAGAGGUGAGUGGAAUUUCCGGUGUAGCGGUGAAAUGCGUAGAUAUCGGAAGGAACACCUGUGGCGAAAGCGGCUCACUGGACCAUUACUGACGCUGAGGCACGAAAGCUAGGGGAGCAAACAGG